UACGUAGGGUGCAAGCGUUAAUCGGAAUUACUGGGCGUAAAGCGUGCGCAGGCGGUUUUGUAAGUCUGUCGUGAAAUCCCCGGGCUCAACCUGGGAAUUGCGAUGGAGACUGCAAGGCUAGAAUCUGGCAGAGGGGGGUAGAAUUCCACGUGUAGCAGUGAAAUGCGUAGAGAUGUGGAGGAACACCGAUGGCGAAGGCAGCCCCCUGGGUCAAGAUUGACGCUCAUGCACGAAAGGCGUGGGAGCA
rnacentral:rRNA from 1 species